rnacentral:rRNA from 1 species
GAACGAGAAAGUGGAGCAAUCCAUGAGUAAAGUGGCGACCGGGUGAGUAACACGUGACUAACCUACCCUCGAGUGUGGAAUAACCUAGGGAAACCUGGGCUAAUACCGCAUAACGUCUUCGGACCAAAGGAGCAAUUCGCUGGAGGAGGGGGUCGCGGCCGAUUAGCUAGUUGGUGAGGUAACGGCUCACCAAGGCGACGAUCGGUAGCUGGUCUGAGAGGACGAUCAGCCACACUGGGACUGAGACACGGCCCAGACUCCUACGGGAGGCAGCAGUGGGGAAUAUUGGACAAUGGGGGCAACCCUGAUCCAGCCAUGCCGCGUGAGUGAUGAAGGCCUUCGGGUUGUAAAGCUCUUUUGGCGGGGACGAUGAUGACGGUACCCGCAGAAUAAGCCCCGGCUAACUUCGUG